UGCUAACUCACUGCUUGAAGCUGUGAUUGAGCACCUGGUGGAAGGCAGGGCCAACUCAGGGGAGCUCAGGUGUGUGCAAUGUACUGAAUGACCUGAAGGGCUGGACCAAGAUCCACCCCUGCCCAGACCUCAUUCAAGGGUUGGCAGAAGAGGCAAGGAUGUUUCUCUAGAGAUCCUUGUGUACCUGAGACUGAAGAGGGCGAAAAUGAAGGGAAGCCUUGCCAGCCUAGAGGAAACCAGUUUCUUAUCAAGCAUUUCAAAACAUCUCCUACUUACUUUUGGAUUUAAUAACCAUUGCGUUUUUGGAAAAAGCUCAUCAACAAAUUCAGUCAUUUUGGUAAGAGUGAAUCCAGUGUCUGAUGUUUCUCCCAGUGAAGUAUGGGGCCAAGCCCCUUGGAGAUGGAGGUAGCAGAGGAGCUGUGAGGGUUUUUUGAGGAAAGCCUCCUUCCUGUUGCUCCAUUGCAAGUGUUGGAAUCACUCAGGGAAUGAAAACAUUGGGUCUCAUCCAACUUUGUUGUUUAAGCCCAGCUGGUUGGGUUCAGCCUGCAGAGGCAGAGAACCCUUGGGUGACAUCCCUCUGCCACCUGUAUGCUCUGGGAUGGACAAUGAUCCCUACACUGGGUUAUUAUACAACAUCAACUGCUGCAAAAAAGCUAAAAGUAAAUCACGGAGAAGGAGUAAGGUAACAGAGCUUCAGAGCUGCUAAUCUCAGUGGAGAAAAUAGAAAAUCCUGUUAUUAUUACACUUCUCCAACUCCAGGUCCCAGUGAGCUACAUCUAGGUGAAGAUCAAUGGAACAGAUCAUUGGCAAUUUCCGACACAGCGACAUCUCACCCUGUGCUGCUGCCCAGCAUUGCACCAGCUCCAAGCUUGCUGUUUCCCUGAAAAUAUCAGUUGCAAACAGGGUCUCCUCCUCCUGAGAAAAUCAGUACUUAUCGACCAGGGACUGUUUUCAAACAGCUGUAAAAUGCAGAAUGUCCCUGUCACUCUGCAACGUCUCAGCUGAUGGUUCAAUCAUUACAGCAUAUAACUACUUGGCUCCUGCAGAUGCAAAAUGUGCAACUUGAGGCAUUGAUGGCAUCUCACUAUUACAUAGAAAAAUUAGUAACUGUUUCAGUCUAGCUUGGUUUAAAAAGAAAAAAAACACCUCAGUAGAUGGUAUGAUGUGUAAGUGCAUGUAUUUGCAAGUGUCAGCUUUGGAACAGGAAGAAAAACAUGCAGCAGUACUGUGCACCAUGGGCCAGCAGAGAUGGCAAUGGAUUGGGUUUGUGCAAUGAGUUUGUGUGGUUGGAGGGAUGCUAAGUGAAAUAAAAAGGGCUCUGCCAUGGGUGAAGGCAAUUAGGGCAGCCCAACUCAUGGCUCUGUCAGGCUCCAAGCUGGGGUUGCUGCCUCUCUAUAGGAGGCUGGUGUACCAGCAGCAUUUGGUAAUCAAGGGGCAAAAGAGCAAAAGCACUUCUGCAGUUCCUGUGUUUUCUCUCCCUUUCCUUCCUAUCAUACAAUUCACCUGUUGUAGGAAAGGGAUGGUGAAUUUGAAAGUUCCUAGUGAGCUUAGGUCUGCUGUUGCCCCAAUGCUCCUCCUCCAUUUACUACUAUCUCCUAAGUGAAGGUGACUUUGGAGAAUGGUAACUGAAAUAACAUUUCUGCCUCGUACAGACCUGGCUUGUGUUCUCAGGGAAGGGAGCAGGAAUAGGAGCAGAUUUGAGCUAUACAAAGAUUUUGUGCAUCUGCAACACUGAAGAUUCACAAUUCCAGCCAAGCAACGUGCCUGAUUGUCCAGUUUCCCCUUGUAUUUUCCUUUAAUAUUGAAGUAAUAACUGUAUAUUACAUGGAAGUAAGAGAUCCCCUCUCAGGACUGGGCUUUGUUCAUGUACAAACUGAAGGGUGAUUGACAAACCAGGGACAUGGCUGUGAGUUUGGGAGUCAGUGAUGGAUGUCAGUCUGACCCAUGCAUCCCAAUGCAGCUUAAAGAAGAAAACAAGCAGCUUGCAUCUCUUUUUUUUUCUUAAUCAUCUAAAAUUUCCAUUCAUAUUAUCCUUCUGCAAUACCCAUCUAAAAGCAUGCGAACAUUGGGCUCUACAAAUUUCUGCAGAAUCUCCUGGGAGCAGCAAGAUCUUCUGAAGAAGCAAUAUUUGGAUGGGAAACUUAUGUCCUCCAAGCUGGCGAGUUGCAACACUGACACAGAUUUUUCUUGUCACUGCAAAACUCUCCUUGUAAAAGGUACGAAAUCCCUUCUCCCUUCCCCUCCUCCUCCUGUCUGUUAUUUAACAACUGGCUGUGAUUUACAUGGUUCAUUAAUGCAAUGGUAACACUGACACGCACAUUCCCAAAUAAACCAGAAGGUUUAUACUUGACCUGGGCCCUCUGUUCACUGCAGAUGUCCCUGAGGAUUUGAAGAACAGUGAUUUGAAGUGAUUGCAUUGGGUAAGGACAUUAUACAAUGCAAAUACAAUUGGACACAAGCAUUUAAUUUUUAAAAAACACUGCUAUGGGAGAGCCUUUCAGCCAGUGCAAACAACAGUUUAACUUCCCUCACCAGCCUGAUUCUGGAAUCCCCCAAGGACAGAGAAGCAAAGCGGGGCUGUUUCAAUCCAGAGAUGUUUUGUUCAGUGAUAUGGAUGGGAUUGCUCUAAACUCAGUCCUCCAUUGGAGUUUUGCCAUUCUGAGAGGCAGCAGAUGUGGGGUGUCCCUGUGCUGAUCACCCUAUGGAGCACAGUCAAGCCCUGGGUGCUGGCUUCCCAGCAGUGAGAGCAGCAGGCUCGGGGACAAAUGGUAAAGGUAAUUAGUUGCCCCCUCAGAUGGUAUUUUUACUGCUCUAUUUGGGUUCCUGUGGAGUGAGAGGAACAAAAGGAGAGGGUUUAAAAUGAUCAUUGCACAGUAAGUGGCAGCAGCCUUGUUAAUGUGCUGAGUGUCUACAAACAGCUGCUAGUCAAACACCCAUAAAGGUUGGCUCUGAUGCACAUAACCUUCUGCCUUCCUUCAAAUGGCUUAACUCCGUCAGCUCUUUGCCCUUUUCCUAUGCAGGCACUGAAAACUCAGGAUUUGGAGCACAGAAAGCACAAAUCCAGGGCAGCCAGAGGGGCUCCCACAGGGUCCUCAAAGGUUUCCCUGGGUAUCCCUUUGGAUGACUUUGAGAAAACCUUUCCCUCUGCAAAGAAGAGGCUCCCAAAAGCAGCAAGAUGGAGAGAGAUUCUUCUGGAAUGCCAAUAGGUCUAAAUUCAAGGAUUCCAAUUUUUGCCCUUGCUUUUGCUACCACAAAUGAGAGCUGGAUCCCAACAAGUCUUAACUCCACAGAGCCAGCAUUCGUUUCUGUAUGCCUGAGUCUUUCCACCACCCAUAAAAGCCUUUUGUGAUCAGUGUAACUCUGCCCAUCUGAGCAUUUCCCAACUAUUUACACAGGAAGAAAUGAGCACUGCUUUUACUCUCUGACUCCCCAAGCUACAGGAAACAAGGAACCUAGACAGAGGGAGUGGGGAAGAGAUGUCUCUACAUCCCCUUGUGACUCUGCAGGCUGUCAGCAGCCUUGGGAGGACACUAACAGGAGGAGAAAGGCAGAUCCUUGUGGUUCCCCACAGGGAGCAAGUCUGGGUAGUGCAGGGAUUAUCUGCAGCAGCUUUUGUUUGGGUCUGGAAGGGAGCACUGAGGGCGUUGCAAUGUGUUAUGGCGAUAUGAGGACACUGAAGCACUUCUCAAAGCACCCCUGUGGACCUAUUAAUUGCGAUAUUGGAUCUUUCAUCUUUUUCAGCAGGUUCCCAGCAAUAGGCAUGCAGCCAGCUUGGCUGGAGUUUUUGUUUAUUUUCCAGUUAAUGUAGAAGCAGAAUCAAUUCCAGCUAACAAAGCUAGGAAUAUCAGAAGAAAAAAAAAGUUCAAUUCCCGUGGAUCAUUUGUGACAUACACCUGGAAGGUAUUUACUAGUAGCAGGGCAAUUAGUGCAGUGAUGUGGCAGGAGACCAGGAAUAUCUCCCAGAAGUGGGUGUGAAUCAUAGGAAGCCCAUCAUCAGCAAGGCAAGAGAAGUACCUUUGCUGUGUUGAUUACCACUAGCUAGAUGGGAAAAUUGCCCUUGGAAGCAUGGCAGCACACACACAACCUGGCUGCAAGUGCUCCCUGCAGCAGUUCUCCCCCCAGGGUGGUAAGAGGCAGCUGAGUGGUGCUCAUCUGACAUCCUGUUGCAAUAAGUGUUAAGUGUGACUGCCCAAACUGAGUAACCAGCACUUGUUACCAACUCUAUUAAGCUUUAAGUGGCACUUUAGCCUUGCUCCCUGCUCACUCGUGCUGGGCUUGGUUAUUUAACACAUGGACUCUGGCCACAUGGUCCAACUGGAGCAUAAACUGCCAGAAACUUAAACACUUGUUCACUUUGCCACUGCCAGAUUUCCCUCACCUUCAUCAGGGCAGAGCUGCCAAGAGCAUUAUGUGAGUUCUUGCCAGGAGCAUCUGUGAAUUAUGGAUAUCAAUACCCGGUGACUUUCUAUAGGUCACAUUUUUUGGCCCCGUCAACACACAGUGGUGAUCUGGGGCUGCCCAGCAAACCUGCUAUAUCCCUGAGUGAUAUUGAAUGGAUAUAACAUUCAUAGUGUUUGCCUUUUUCAGCGACUUGAAUGGGAUUUCUCUAAGUGCCACUGCUUUCCAUGCUCAAACCCUUUGCAUUUAUCUUCUCAGUUUUUUCUUUUUAAAUAUGCAAGUAUAACAGUGGAAUGCUUCAAAACCCUGACUACAUGCAGAACUGAAGGGCCUUUAAGCUCUUAAAGUUAUAUUCUGAGAAAUGUGGAGAUGUUGUGCAGUCCUUUCCCUGGAUGCUGGCUGCUUCUAGCCUCAGUCCCAUCCUGGGCAGCCUUUGGGGGAGGAGAGAUUUGGGCUGAGCAUGCAGGAGGAAUGCAAGGCUUUAGGUUGAAAACACUGAGUGUGAGUCAUAAUUUUCCAGAAACUGAACAAAAAAAAAAGAAAAAGAUGCACCAGCUGCGAUACAUGGAGGUUUUGAAAAUCUCUGAUUGAAGUAUGUAACUACAGCGGGUCUGCUAGAAAAACCUGAAUGAAGGCAAUGAGAUCCAAACUCGGCUGUACACCCCCGGCUCUGUGUCACUGGGGAUUUAGCACUACGGAGGGACAAAUCCAAGGGAGCAGAGAGCAGACAAACCCACGGACGGUUCCUCUGGGAACGGCCAAUGCUGCGUUUUUUCUCUGCGUUCAGCACCACGGACAGCGCCGGGCCGUUCACUGCCGUUCCCUCUCUUGGGACAACGUGGGUUGGCACCGUCCCCAAGAGAAGGGAAUGAAAGGUGACAGAUCCAUGCUCUACGUUUCUCUGUGCUGGCCCCAACAGUGGGCAUGUCAUCCGGGUCCAACCGCGGCCUCUGUUUGUUGCACUGUUUCUUUAUCACUGGGAACCUCAGCGAUGCUAAAUGCUCAGAAGGAGCUUGGAGUUCCGAUCGGAUCCUCAAGCUGACCUGUGGUGUAUGGUUUAAUGAGGCUAGUUUAUGUAUGCCAUACCCCAAAUCUAAAGGUCAGGGGGUUGGGGGCCAUAAAUAUUCACUCUGCGCUGACUGGGUUUUUCAAACAAUCUUUUAAAUAUUUAUGACAGUGCUUCAAUGGCUGAAGGAGCAUCUUGUAAUAGUAUUAAGAGAAAAAAAAAAUCCUUCUGUAUCUAAAAGCUCAGCGUGAACCAUUUUCAUAUAUUAUGCAUCACUAAGUGCUGUUUAUGGCCCUUCUUGGCAGAAUUGGUGCUGUAACAAGACAGAGUUCACGCGUGCGGGGCCGUGCAGCACCUAAGGUGAGCGGGUGCUAUUUUAACAUGCUAAACAGGAUAUUUUGCUGGGAAGUGACAGAGAAUUACAGAAUACUACCAAUACUGGCUGCAUUAAAAAUGCUGUCUGGCUUUCAUGGUGCAAUUUAAUCACAGCUGUGCCCUGCUGCCUCUAAAAAGAUCUCAGCCAACCAAAGCGUGAAUUCUGAGGAAAACGUCUGAAAAUGAGAGCAGAUGAGUUGGACACAAGCAGCAAGAUGGAGCUGGAGCUGUUGCCAAGUUGCACCAUGUUCGGUGUUCAAUCUGGGGUUGCCCUGCAGCAAUGUGAAUGCUGUCAGAAUGGGAAUCCAGUGUCUGCAGCUCAACCUUUGGGCCAGCAGGGAGAGCAGCAAAGAGAAAAUCACUUGGA